AAAUGACUGGUAUUUGUAUUGUUACUGCCACUCAACUUUUUACUGUAACAACAGCAGAUGUUACUCCUAGAUCUCAACACAUUUUCCUACUAAGUCUGCAGGCAGCCAUUGUGAAAGAAUUGAAUCUGCCAUAUAAGUAACACAAGAAGACUAUGAUUUGGAAGUUGCAAUGGAGAUAUUAGAAGAAACACCUAGAUACUUCACUAGAAGUGCUGCAAAAAUGACAGCAUAAAUUGUGCAGUUUCACAACCCUCCAACUCCCCCCCCACCACAAAAAAAACUACGAGCAUUUAAUGGCCUUAUGAGUAUGUAUGUGACAUGUGUAUUUUAUUAGAGGCAUUUCUCAGUUUCCCUCAUCCAAGCUGUUAAGAUCGUAUAAGACUAAGUCAAAGCUGAUCCUCCUUCUAAACCUGCC
rnacentral:lncRNA from 1 species